GAGACAGCCCAUUCCUCUGUGAUGUCACGGCGUAGCGUUCCUUUAGCUGAGUCAGUGCCGCCAUCAGGCGACUGUUGGCGGCAUCAAGACUCGCAAUCCUCUUCUCCUGAGAGAAAGGAAGAGAGACAGACAGGAAGAGAGACAGACAGGAAGUCAGCUUAUUGAAAUAUCUCAUAGAACAGAACUAAAGUCUCAGACAGACAGACAGACAGACAGACAGGUACCUGUGCCUCUAUGAUCUUCUGUUUGGAGUCGACCACAGCCUGCAUGUCAGAGUGAUCCUUCUUCAGCUCCUCCUCCACUGCCAUCAACCUGCACAGGUCCCGGGCCUCCACCACCCACACCGUCAGCACGUUCUCCAGCCGCCGGCUGUUGUCCUUGUUGGGGUGCACGGCUCGCCGCAGGUUCUCCAUCCAUUUGUCUCGUUCUGCAGCCGAACGACACGAGAAGCACUUCGUUCCUGUGGAGGUCGUUACCUAGGAGACACAGGUCAGAGGUGGAGUCAGUCAGCUGAUCUCCAGCUGACAGCAGCCUUGUUACCAUGGAAACAGCAGACUAAUCCCAGCUGGGUGCGUUUGUGUGUGUGUGCGUGCGUGUCACCGUCACUCUGGCGGUGGGCGAGUCCACGGCGGAGCUACUGGGCAUGCUCUGUCGGCGAACCCCUCUCUCUGGAACAUCUGGAACAGACAGAGAGCAUCAUGGGAAGGUUUAGUAGUUUUUUCUUUUAAAGCAGCAGUCGGCCAUGUUGGCUCCACAGCUGUUGCCAUGGUAACUGGUGGGGUCAGCGUUGCCACGGGGACUAGCAACAGUUGAAACGUGUGAACACACACACACACUCAGACGGUGAAAGUUGAUGUUCUGAGAUUAGAGAUUUUCUCCCUCUGUAAAAACUUCUGCAGACAUUCACACCACGAUGCUCCAGGAGGACAUUAUAACAACUGGUCUAAUGGGGCGGGGCCUAAGCUUUACUCGUUACUGGUUACUAGUUGCUCUGUGUAUCAUCAGCUUUAGACGCAGCGCGAUGCAGACACGGACGUUUCUGAAUCGAUUAACUGAUGUCAAACAUCCAACAUAUAAAUGUUCAUUUAUAACGUAAUGUUCACGGAACGCAGACAACAGAGACCGGUGAUCUGUUACUGGUCUCAGACCAGUGUUCCCAGUACUCGACGCUCAUUAGCUGCGUGUCAUUACUACCUUGUUGUCCGGGGCCGUUAACGUCAGGUCCAGGCUACACUGGUGUCCCGGACAUCCUGAGAGCUAAAGUAUAUUUCAGUCUGACACCUGGCUGGUGAAGGAAGGAGGCUGGUGAGCAGGAGCAGCUGAGGCUGCUAAAGGAAGUUAGGGAUGUCAAAUUGAAAGAAAACUGAGAAACAAGAAAUUAAACUGAUCUGCAGUCAGUUACUACACAA